GACGAACGCUGGCGGCGUGCUUAACACAUGCAAGUCGAACGGAAAGGCCCUGCUUUUGUGGGGUGCUCGAGUGGCGAACGGGUGAGUAACACGUGAGUAACCUGCCCUUGACUUUGGGAUAACUUCAGGAAACUGGGGCUAAUACCGGAUAGGAGCUCCUGCUGCACGGUGGGGGUUGGAAAGUUUCGGCGGUUGGGGAUGGACUCGCGGCUUAUCAGCUUGUUGGUGGGGUAGUGGCUUACCAAGGCUUUGACGGGUAGCCGGCCUGAGAGGGUGACCGGCCACAUUGGGACUGAGGGACGGCCCAGACUCCUACGGGAGGCAGCAGUGGGGAAUAUUGCACAAUGGGCGGAAGCCUGAUGCAGCAACGCCGCGUGCGGGAUAACGGCCUUCGGGUUGUAAACCGCUUUCGCCUGUGACGAAGCGUGAGUGACGGUAAUGGGUAAAGAAGCACCGGCUAACUACGUG
rnacentral:rRNA from 1 species